AGAACAUUUGACCUCAGUCAGACACAUGGACAUAUGCUAGCAGUUGAGUAGCAUGAAAAAUCAGUGGUACAGGGACCUAGCAAAUGCCUUGGCCUGAUUUUCUAAUCUGUGCAUUUGUAUCCAAGGAGAAGAAGCAAAAAAAUCAGUGGGAGAGGAGGAGUCACCACAUGAAUGAUUCACUACACGGAGGAAAACAAUUAGGACACUGGACCAAGCAAGAGGCAGCUGAAACUGUGAACUCCUACCCGGUGGGAAGGUCAACGUGUGGUACUCCUUAUCUCCUGAAGACAAAAUAGUAAUAAAACAUGCAAGGGAAGAAGAAGGAAUGUAUGAAAUAGCAAGAGAGAGAAGUGGUGGAAGAGAUGAAGACAACAAGGUAUGCCUGCAGUAUCUCUUUCCCAAUACACAAGGAGGGAAGGAUGCAUUUUCAGGGUUAGGGAAGACCUCCAAAAUUCAUUUGCAAUCUCUUUAUGGCCUAUUUGCACCUGGCAGCAGGCACAGGGUGUUAAAUCCCAGCUUGGGACGUCUUCCAGAUGCCUACCAAGCAAGACAGCAUCCAGAAAAAAGGGCUGUUUUGAUGGUAAGUCCUCAAUGGAUUAGAUAAAUCCAAGAGGAUUUAAUGCCAGACAGCGCCAGCCCAAGGACCCCAUCAUCUCCCCGUUGGCAGCAGCUUGACCAUCACCUUGAAGAGGUGACAAGCAGCUCCCAGGGGACACGGUGCCACUGCCAAUCCACAGAGCAAAUCUGCAAAAGUGAGAGGAG
rnacentral:lncRNA from 1 species